GUACAAGUUUCCUUUGACUUAAACAAUUCGCAGCUUAAGUACAUUGAUGAGGAUAAUGAAGAG
rnacentral:lncRNA from 1 species